CCGAAAGGUGCAUUACCUCCA
rnacentral:siRNA from 1 species